GACGGAGGAGGCUAGCGUUGUUCGGAAUUACUGGGCGUAAAGCGCGCGCAGGCGGUCUUGCAAGUCAGGGGUGAAAGCCCGGGGCUCAACCUCGGAACUGCCUUUGAGACUGUGAGACUCGAGACCGAGAGAGGAGAGUGGAAUUCCCAGUGUAGAGGUGAAAUUCGUAGAUAUUGGGUAGAACACCGGUGGCGAAGGCGGCUCACUGGCUCGUAACUGACGCUCAGGCACGACAGCGUGGGGAUCAAACAGG
rnacentral:rRNA from 1 species